rnacentral:rRNA from 1 species
UACGUAGGGUGCGAGCGUUAAUCGGAAUUACUGGGCGUAAAGCGUGCGCAGGCGGUUCUCCAAGUCCGUUGUGAAAGCCCCGGGCUCAACCUGGGAAUGGCAGUGGAAACUAGGGGACUGGAAUCUGGCAGAGGGGGGUGGAAUGCCGCGUGUAGCAGUGAAAUGCGUAGAGAUGCGGCGGAACACCGAUGGCGAAGGCAGCCCCCUGGGCUGAGAUUGACGCUCAGGCACGAAAGCGUGAGGAGCAAACAGG